rnacentral:miRNA from 1 species
UAAGUGAAUAUUCUGUGUCG